rnacentral:rRNA from 1 species
GGUUACUGCUAUCGGUGUUCGCAUAAGCCAUGCGAGUCAUAUGUUCGUAAGAACAUGGCGUACUGCUCAGUAACACGUGGAUAACCUGCCCUUGGGUCCGGCAUAACCCCGGGAAACUGGGGAUAAUUCCGGAUAACGCACAUAUGCUGGAAUGCUUUUUGCGUAAAAUGGAUUCGUCUGCCCAAGGAUGGGUCUGCGGCCUAUCAGGUAGUAGUGGGUGUAAUGUACCUACUAGCCUACGACGGGUACGGGUUGUGAGAGCAAGAGCCCGGAGAUGGAUUCUGAGACAUGAAUCCAGGCCCUACGGGGCGCAGCAGGCGCGAAAACUUUACAAUGCGGGAAACCGUGAUAAGGGGACACCGAGUGCCAGCAUCCUAUGCUGGCUGUCCGGGUGUGUAAAAUACACCUGUUAGCAAGGGCCGGGCAAGACCGGUGCCAGCCGCCGCGGUAACACCGGCGGCCCGAGUGGUGAUCGUGAUUAUUGGGUCUAAAGGGUCCGUAGCCGGUUUGGUCAGUCCUCCGGGAAAUCUGACAGCUCAACUGUUAGGCUAUCGGAGGAUACUGCCAGACUUGGAACCGGGAGAGGUAAGAGGUACUACAGGGGUAGGAGUGAAAUCUUGUAAUCCCUGUGGGACCACCUGUGGCGAAGGCGUCUUACCAGAACGGGUUCGACGGUGAGGGACGAAAGCUGGGGGCACGAACCGGAUUAGAUACCCGGGUAGUCCCAGCCGUAAACGAUGCUCGCUAGGUGUCAGGCAUGGCGCGACCGUGUCUGGUGCCGCAGGGAAGCCGUGAAGCGAGCCACCUGGGAAGUACGGCCGCAAGGCUGAAACUUAA